rnacentral:rRNA from 9 species
CCAUACCAAUCCUCCUUCCCAUUGAACCUUAUCAUUUAGAGGAAGGAGAAGUCGUAACAAGGUUUCCGUAGGUGAACCUGCGGAAG